AAUUGAUCAGUAAUGAUCCAGGAGAUCUAUUAGGAGGAUUUAACAGGGACCCAAUGAAUUUUCAAUGUGCAACCAAAAUUAGAACUCAGGCUCUUGGUUUAAAUAUAGUGCAUGUAUGUGUUUGCUUUAAGGGAGCAGCUGUGGAAAGACAGAAGAUGAAAGCUCCCAUUCCAAAUUUGAUUCUCUUGUAUGCUACUCUAACUCAGAGCUUGAAGGUUGUGACCAAAAGAGGAUCAGGCACAUAAUAAACAUAUUUUGAGAGAACUUUUGAAGAUAAAAGGUUGAACAUUCUUUAGCUGGGCGUUUUCUACAGUGCAAUUACACUUUUGGCAGUGCAUGGGAGCUGUGGGAUGUCCUCCAUGCUCCGCUUCUGAGGCUCUCAAAACUUUUUAGAUUUGCCAUAUGGUGAUAUUUUGACUUGAGUUAAAUUAGGUAAUGUAACUGAGCUUGUUUAAUUUAUGUACCCUUUUUCAUGAAAGAUGCAUUACUUCACUUGUGAAGAUUGUAAUGAGCUAUUUUUAUUAUAGUUUUUUGAAGUAAUAAGCUAUGAGUACUACUGAGGUGUCCAAGAAAGGGCAAAAUGAAUAAACAUUUUUUUUUGUGAAGAAGUACA
ensembl:lncRNA